rnacentral:rRNA from 1 species
CCUACGGGACGCAGCAGUGAGGAAUAUUGGUCAAUGGGCGGGAGCCUAAACCAGCCAAGCCGCGUGAAGGAAGAAGGCGCCAGGCGUCGUAAACUUCUUUUGUCGGGGAACAAAGGGCGCCACGUGUGGCGUUGUGAGUGUACCCGAAGAAAAAGCAUCGGCUAACUCCGUGCCAGCAGCCGCGGUAAUACGGAGGAUGCGAGCGUUAUCCGGAUUUAUUGGGUUUAAAGGGUGCGUAGGCGGACGCUUAAGUCAGCGGUAAAAUUGCGGGGCUCAACCUCGUCGAGCCGUUGAAACUGGGUGCC